ACAUUUUACCAGAGAAGUUAGUUUCUCUAAAUAAACUGAAAUAAAUUGAAAUAAAUUUUUCAGUUUAAAAAUUGAAAACUUCAUUACAGUUUUUAAUUUAAGCAAUUAAACUAAAUCCGCAAAAUGGCUGACAAAAAUAAAAUGAACGCUGCUCAGCGCAAAGCCAAAGCAGAGGCAGAUAAACAGGUGCUCGCCCACGCUAAAACUUUGGAUGAUCUUAAAAUGUGUUGCAAAAUCGCUGAUAAUGAGAGGAAAUUCUAUUUGGGAAAAUUACUUCAAAUAGAUAAACUUUGUAAGGCUCAUCCAAAUGAUCAUCCAGUAAUUCCUCACGUCAUGCGUUCAGCAACUAAGGGUUUGUCAUAUUCUAAAGAUAAAGACGGUGGAACUGAACCAGGUUCAUCUGAUCAACAUUAGAAGCACUUUUAUAUUUUAAAGCUCCUGUUUUUUUUUGUGAUAUAUUCUCUUCGACCACUUUGAGAAAAUGAUUAGAGGGGCUGCAAUAUGUGAACUAUAAAAAUGUCGGGAACGUUGAAAACAUUUACUCAUUUAUUUAAUUAUUCUUGUUGCAUUAUAACCUGUUAAAAUGUAAUGGAAUAAAUAAAAAUAUUUAACUGAA